AUUGAACGCUGGCGGCAGGCUUAGCACAUGCAAGUCGAGCGGAGAUGAGGUGCUUGCACCUUAUCUUAGCGGCGGACGGGUGAGUAAUGCUUAGGAAUCUGCCUAUUAGUGGGGGACAACAUUCCGAAAGGAAUGCUAAUACCGCAUACGUCCUACGGGAGAAAGCAGGGGAUCUUCGGACCUUGCGCUAAUAGAUGAGCCUAAGGCGGAUUAGCUAGUUGGUGGGGUAAAGGCCUACCAAGGCGACGAUCUGUAGCGGGUAUGAGAGGAUGAUCCGCCACACUGGGACUGAGACACGGCCCAGACUCCUACGGGAGGCAGCAGUGGGGAAUAUUGGACAAUGGGGGGAACCCUGAUCCAGCCAUGCCGCGUGUGUGAAGAAGGCCUUAUGGUUGUAAAGCACUUUAAGCGUGGAGGAGGCUACUGAGACUAAUACUCUUGGAUAGUGGACGUUACUCGCAGAAUAAGCACCGGCUAACUCUGUGCCAGCCGCCGCCGUAACAC
rnacentral:rRNA from 1 species